rnacentral:rRNA from 1 species
UACGUAGGGUGCAAGCGUUGUCCGGAAUUAUUGGGCGUAAAGAGCUUGUAGGCGGUUUGUCGCGUCUGCUGUGAAAUUUCGGGGCUCAACCCCCGAACUUGCAGUGGGUACGGGCAGACUAGAGUGUGGUAGGGGAGACUGGAAUUCCUGGUGUAGCGGUGAAAUGCGCAGAUAUCAGGAGGAACACCGAUGGCGAAGGCAGGUUUCUGGGCCAUAACUGACGCUGAGAAGCGAAAGCAUGGGGAGCGAACAGG